AAACUUCCGCAAUUGUCGAAACUCUGAUGGAGCAACGCUGCGUGAGUGACGAAGGUUUCCGGAUCGUAAAACUCUGUUGUUAGGGAAGAACAAGUAUCGGAGUCACUGCCGGUACCUUGACGGUACCUGACGAGAAAGCCCAGGCUCACUACGUGCCAGACGCCGCGGUAAUACGUAGGUGGCAAGCGUUGUCUGGAUUUUUUGGGCGUAAAGCGCGCGCAGGCGGUCUUUUAAGUCUGAUGUGAAAUCUUACAGCUUAACUGUAAGCGGUCAUUGGAAACUGGGAGACUUGAGUGCAGAAGAGGAGAGUGGAAUUCCAUGUGUAGCGGUGAAAUGCGUAGAGAUAUGGAGGAACACCAGUGGCGAAGGCGACUCACUGGUCUGUAACUGACGCUAAGGCACGAAAGCGUGGGGAUCAAAC
rnacentral:rRNA from 1 species